rnacentral:rRNA from 1 species
UACGAAGGGAGCUAGCGUUGUUCGGAAUCACUGGGCGUAAAGCGCACGUAGGCGGAUUUGCCAGUCAGGGGUGAAAUCCCGGGGCUCAACCUCGGAACUGCCUUUGAUACAGCAAGUCUUGAGUUCGAGAGAGGCGGGUGGAAUUCCUAGUGUAGAGGUGAAAUUCGUAGAUAUUAGGAAGAACACCGGUGGCGAAGGCGGCCCACUGGCUCGACACUGACGCUGAGGUGCGAAAGCCAGGGGAGCGAACGGG